rnacentral:tRNA from 1 species
UGCUUGGGUAGUUUAUUUAAAACGUUAAUUUGUGGAGUUAAAGAUGUAGCUUAUACCUCAGGCAG